rnacentral:lncRNA from 1 species
AAAUUAGAACCAAUACCCCUCCACUCUCUAGACCCCAUGGAUUUUCUGGGCUUGCAACACCUCAUCUUCUUGGGAUUCCUUUUUCCCUCUGGGUUGGACUCACAGUUUUCAGGAUCCUGAGUUUUCGUCUAUCCUGGUCUAUGUUUUCAUCUUACUAGGGCGGUAAUCCUGAAAUGAGCUCUAAAGGAAGCAUGUGAGGGAAGUGAACCUUCUGCGUGCUUUCAUGUCUAAAACGGAAUUUCUUAUAUUCUACCUCCUAUUUAUUAUUGAGUUGGGUGUAGAAUUUGGAGCCAAAAGUAAUUUUUUUUUCCUGAAAAAUUGAAAACAUGGAUCCCUGUCUUGGCCAAGGGGCCAGUUUGAGUCUCAGCCCUUUGUAUGUGAUCUCUUUCUCUUCUUCUUUCUCUUCCUCUUCUUCUCUCUCUUUUCUCUUCUCUUCUCUUCUCUUCUUUUCUUUCUUUUUUUUUUUUAAUACUUGUUUUGAAAUUCCCUGAGGAUUGGUACAGGGUCUAUAUCAGUUGUAUUGGGCUCUACCUGAGCCCUUCGGAUAGUUUUUGUUUGUUUUUCUGAGAUAGGUCUUACCUUAUAGCUUUGGCUGACCUAGAACAUAUAUCAGGCUGGCCUAGAACUCACAGGGAUUUGUCUACUUCUGCCUCCCAAGUACUGGGAUUGAAGGCAUGUGCCACCAUGCUUAUUAUCCCUUUAGGUAGUAAAACUUAGAACUUUCCUACUUCAGCUCCAGGGUAUGCUGACUUCUGUUUCCUCUCUCUAGGCCUUUGUCAGAUCACCUGUCUCUUGGAUUGGUUCCUUGUGUCUCCUGUACUUUAUUGUGACCAUAUUUGUAUCAUUUUCCAUAAAUUGUCAAAAAAUAACUUGGAGGGUGUCUUAGUUAGUGUUUUACUGCUGUGAACAGACACCAUGAUCAAGGAAAGUCUUAUAAAAACAGCAUUUUAUCAGGGCUUGGCUUACAGGUUCAGAGGUUCAGUCCAUUAUCGUCAAGGUGAGAGCAUGGCAGUAUCCAGGCAGGCAUGGCACAGGAGAAGCUGAGAGUUCUAUGUCUUCAUCCAAAGGCUGCUAGUGGAAGACUGACUCCCAGGCAACUAGGGUGAGGGUCUUAAGCCCACACCCACAGUGACAUACCCAUUCCAACCAGGUCACACCUAUUCCAACAAGGCCACACCUUCAGAUGGUGCCACUCCCUGGUCCAAGGAUAUAUAAACCAUCACAGCCACUUAAUAAGUUUAGUAGGAAAGUGUAUGUAGAAAAUUAUUAGUGCCAGAUCUCAUUGACAUAAUAAAGUUACAGCCAUAAAAUUUGAUAACAUUUAAUAAAAUAUUUUCAGUACAAAUAUGUUAUUUGCUUUUAUCUAAAAUUCAUAGUUUUACCUAUAUCAGGCACCUUAUAACUUGGCUAGUAAUGUGUCAUGUAUGAUUUGACAGGACAGCAUAUGCCCAAUUCUCAUGAAAACAGACAGGAAAGAGAGGCUAUUUAAGAGAAAACACAUACACACACACACACACACACACACACACACACACACACACACACACAGAAGAGGUAGUUUUUACUGGGAGGGUUUUAUAGAGACAGGUUGCAGAGAGAACAAGCUAGACACAGGUGAAGGCAGAACCAGUCAGAGAAUGAGAAGGAGCCAGAAGAUUAGAACAGAUUGCCAGAGUUCUUUUGAGGCCAACCAUGACGGAGGGGAAAGGGUUAAAGACCACUGUGAGGGAAGCCAGGACUGGAGUCCAAGGGAGAAACCCAAGGGAAGCACUGGGGCAAACAGCCUGGAGGAACAGCCCUUACUGUGUUGCCCUCCUGGCCUGCUCAGCUUCCUUCCUCCACAGUCCAGGCCCAGCUGCUUAGGGGUGACACUGCCCACACAGGCUGCACCCUCAUGCAUCAGUUAGUGAUUAAGAAAAUGCUCCACAAAUAUGCCCCAAGCUAAUUUCAUGGAGGCAGUUCCACACCUGAGGCUCCCUCUUUCUCAGUAUGUCAAGGUGACAGCCACGAACAGCUUCACAAAGGUUCUCAAGAACCCCAGGCUGGCCUUGAACUUGCCAUAUAGCUGAUGACCAUGAAUCAUUUCCUU